ensembl:rRNA 5S_rRNA 5S ribosomal RNA
UUUAAGCCAUAUCACCCUGCAACUCACAACUGGCAACCCACUGAAGCUAAGCAGGUGUGAGCCUGGUCAGUACCUGGAUGGGAGACCUCCUGGGAAAAACAAAGGUUGCUGCUGGAA